UGUCCCUUAUCCCACGCAGGCGCAGUUUUCGUAGACCGGCGCAGGCGCAGUGCUGGCACGAGCGUGCAAGCGAAGUUGUUUCGGAAGGGCUGCAACAUGGACGAUGAGGAGGAGACUUACCGGCUGUGGAAGAUCCGCAAGACCAUCAUGCAGCUGUGUCAUGACCGUGGCUACUUGGUGACUCAGGAUGAACUGGACCAGACACUUGAGGAGUUCAAGGCACAGUUUGGGGACAAACCCAGCGAAGGAAGACCAAGGCGCACAGACCUCACCGUGCUGGUGGCCCACAAUGAUGACCCCACAGACCAGAUGUUUGUGUUCUUCCCAGAGGAGCCCAAGGUGGGCAUCAAGACCAUCAAGGUGUACUGCCAGCGCAUGCAGGAGGAGAACAUCACACGCGGGCUGAUCGUGGUACAGCAGGGCAUGACGCCCUCCGCCAAGCAGUCUCUGGUGGACAUGGCACCGAAGUACGUUCUGGAGCAGUUCCUACAGCAAGAGCUGCUCAUCAACAUCACGGAAUACGAGCUGGUCCCUGAGCAUGUGGUCAUGACAAAGGAGGAGGUGACAGAGCUGCUGGCUCGAUACAAGCUUCGCGAAAGCCAGCUGCCCAGGAUCCAGGCUGGGGACCCAGUGGCGCGCUAUUUUGGGAUCAAGCAGGGGCAGGUUGUGAAGAUCAUCCGGCCCAGUGAGACAGCCGGCCGCUACAUCACCUACCGCCUGGUACAGUAGCACACAGCAGGUGAGCCCCGCCUGCCCCGGCCAGCACACUGCUCUGCCAGGGUCCCAGCUCAGACCCCUGUCCCAUUCUGAAAAGCAGGACUGUUGGGUAAGACACUACAGCCCCCAGCCUGCUCUUCCCAGUGCACCCACUUGCGAAAGGAGCAACUGACUCUUGCAGGUUGUCCUCUGACCUCCCGUGAGGGCAGGCUGUAACCCCAUCACCAGGAGGUGGGCCAGCACCCUGGAGACUGCAGGAGGAUUGCUGCAACUUCAAGUGAGUUUAUGACUUCAAGAACUGGUCCGUCGCCGCUCUGGUAGCUUCUGGUAUGAGAAACUCGUCUGAAAACAGGAAAGGAACCCGCGUAGGAGCCAGCAGAUCUGCCCUUCCUCGUCACCAGCACCCUGCCUGCUGCUCUGUGGGGCCAAGGGUACCGGCCACAACCUCUUUGCCUUUUGACUAGAGGGUUCCCACCUGGCCAGUGCCUUGGGAAUGUGGCCCUGGGCAGCCAGCACCACAGUCCUCCCUGUGCAAUGUUGGUGCACUGGCUGUACCCCACACUGCCCUGUAUAGAGUUCUCCAUUCUGUAGGACUCUGUUCUGAGAACUAAAGACAUUUUGAGGAGUUA